rnacentral:rRNA from 1 species
AUUGAACGCUGGCGGCAGGCCUAACACAUGCAAGUCGAGCGAGCGGCGGAUGGGUGAGUAAUGCCUGGGAAUUGCCCAGUCGAGGGGGCUAACAGUUGGAAACGACUGCUAAUCCUGCAUACGAUUGGAUUGCCUAGGUGUGAUUAGCUAGUUGGUGAGGUAAUGGCUCACCAAGGCGACGAUCCCUAGCUGGUCUGAGAGGAUGAUCAGCCACACUGGAACUGAGACACGGCCCAGACUCCUACGGGAGGCAGCAGUGGGGAAGAUUGCACAAUGGGGGAAACCCUGAUGCAUCCAUGCCGCGUGUGUGAAGAAGGCCUUCGGGUUGUAAAGCACUUUCAGUGGGGAGGCGUUACCCGCAGAAGAAGCACCGGCUAACUCCGUGCCAGCAGCCGCGGUAAUUC